CGGACGGGUGAGUAAUGUCUGGGAAACUGCCCGAUGGAGGGGGAUAACUACUGGAAACGGUAGCUAAUACCGCAUAACGUCGCAAGACCAAAGAGGGGGACCUUCGGGCCUCUUGCCAUCGGAUGUGCCCAGAUGGGAUUAGCUAGUGGGUGGGGUAACGGCUCACCUAGGCGACGAUCCCUAGCUGGUCUGAGAGGAUGACCAGCCACACUGGAACUGAGACACGGUCCAG
rnacentral:rRNA from 1 species